rnacentral:rRNA from 1 species
GAUGAACGCUGGCGGCGUGCCUAAUACAUGCAAGUCGAGCGAACAGACGAGGAGCUUGCUCCUCUGACGUUAGCGGCGGACGGGUGAGUAACACGUGGAUAACCUACCUAUAAGACUGGGAUAACUUCGGGAAACCGGAGCUAAUACCGGAUAAUAUAUUGAACCGCAUGGUUCAAUAGUGAAAGACGGUUUUGCUGUCACUUAUAGAUGGAUCCGCGCCGCAUUAGCUAGUUGGUAAGGUAACGGCUUACCAAGGCAACGAUGCGUAGCCGACCUGAGAGGGUGAUCCGCCCCCCUGGAACUUAGACACGGUCCAGACUCCUACGGGGAGCAGCAGUAGGGAAUCCUCCGCAAUGGGGGGAAGCCUGACGGAGCAACGCCGCGUGAGUGAUGAAGGUCUUCGGAUCGUAAAACUCUGUUAUUAGGGAAGAACAAAUGUGUAAGUAACUAUGCACGUCUUGACGGUACCUAAUCAGAAAGCCACGGCUAACUACGUG